rnacentral:rRNA from 1 species
UGGCGGCAGGCCUAACACAUGCAAGUCGAGCGGUAGAGAGAAGCUUGCUUCUCUUGAGAGCGGCGGACGGGUGAGUAAUGCCUAGGAAUCUGCCUGGUAGUGGGGGAUAACGUUCGGAAACGAACGCUAAUACCGCAUACGUCCUACGGGAGAAAGCAGGGGACCUUCGGGCCUUGCGCUAUCAGAUGAGCCUAGGUCGGAUUAGCUAGUUGGUGAGGUAAUGGCUCACCAAGGCGACGAUCCGUAACUGGUCUGAGAGGAUGAUCAGUCACACUGGAACUGAGACACGGUCCAGACUCCUACGGGAGGCAGCAGUGGGGAAUAUUGGACAAUGGGCGAAAGCCUGAUCCAGCCAUGCCGCGUGUGUGAAGAAGGUCUUCGGAUUGUAAAGCACUUUAAGUUGGGAGGAAGGGCAGUUACCUAAUACGUGAUUGUUUUGACGUUACCGACAGAAUAAGCACCGGCUAACUCUGUGCCAGCAGCCGCGGUAAUACAGAGGGUGCAAGCGUUAAUCGGAAUUACUGGGCGUAAAGCGCGCGUAGGUGGUUUGUUAAGUUGGAUGUGAAAUCCCCGGGCUCAACCUGGGAACUGCAUUCAAAACUGACUGACUAGAGUAUGGUAGAGGGUGGUGGAAUUUCCUGUGUAGCGGUGAAAUGCGUAGAUAUAGGAAGGAACACCAGUGGCGAAGGCGACCACCUGGACUAAUACUGAC